rnacentral:rRNA from 1 species
GGGCCCGCACAAGCAGUGGAGUAUGUGGUUUAAUUCGAUGCAACGCGAAGAACCUUACCAGGGUUUGACAUCCUGCGAAUCUCUUGGAAACGAGAGAGUGCCUUCGGGAACGCAGUGACAGGUGGUGCAUGGCUGUCGUCAGCUCGUGUCGUGAGAUGUUGGGUUAAGUCCCGCAACGAGCGCAACCCACGUCUUUAGUUGCCAGCAUUUAGUUGGGCACUCUAGAGAGACUGCCGGUGAUAAGCGGGAGGAAGGUGUGGAUGACGUCAAGUCCUCAUGGCCCUUACGGGUUGGGCUACACACGUGCUACAAUGGUAGUGACAAUGGGUUAAUCCCAAAAAGCUAUCUCAGUUCGGAUUGUCGUCUGCAACUCGACGGCAUGAAGUCGGAAUCGCUAGUAAUCG